UACGGGGGGGUAAGCGUUGUUCGGAAUUACUGGGCGUAAAGGGCUCGUAGGCGGCCAACUAAGUCAGACGUGAAAUCCCUCAGCUUAACUGGGGAACUGCGUCUGAUACUGGAUGGCUUGGAUUCGGGAGAGGAAUGCGGAAUUCCAGGUGUAGCGGUGAAAUGCGUAGAUAUCUGGAGGAACACCGGUGGCGAAGGCGGCAUUCUGGACCGAUAUUGACGCUGAGGAGCGAAAGCCAGGGGAGCAAACAGGG
rnacentral:rRNA from 1 species